rnacentral:rRNA from 1 species
GUCCACGCCCUAAACGAUGUCUACUGGUUGUUGGGUAUAUAUAAAUACUUAGUAACGAAGCUAACGCGUGAAGUAGACCGCCUGGGAAGUACGGUCGCAAGAUUAAAACUCAAAGGAAUUGACGGGGACCCGCACAAGCGGUGGAUGAUGUGGAUUAAUUCGAUGCAACGCGAAAACCUUACCUACCCUUGACAUGUCAAGAAUUUCGCAGAGAUGUGGAAGUGCUCGCAAGAGAACUUGAACACAGGUGCUGCAUGGCUGUCGU